UACAAAUAGUACAAGUGUUAUGCAGCAGUAUUGGGCGUAAAGCGCGCGCAGGCGGUCCUUUAAGUCUGAUGUGAAAGCCCACGGCUCAACCGUGGAAGGUCAUUGGAAACUGGGGGACUUGAGUGCAGAAGAGGAAAGUGGAAUUCCAAGUGUAGCGGUGAAAUGCGUAGAGAUUUGGAGGAACACCAGUGGCGAAGGCGACUUUCUGGUCUGUAACUGACGCUGAGGCGCGAAAGCGUGGGGAGCAAACAGG
rnacentral:rRNA from 1 species